rnacentral:rRNA from 1 species
GUGGGGAAUAUUGGGCAAUGGGGGAAACCCUGACCCAGCAACGCCGCGUGAAGGAAGAAGGUUUUCGGAUCGUAAACUUCUAUCCUUGGUGAAGAUAAUGACGGUAGCCAAGAAGGAAGCCCCGGCUAACUACGUGCCAGCAGCCGCGGUAAUACGUAGGGGGCAAGCGUUGUCCGGAAUGAUUGGGCGUAAAGGGCGCGUAGGCGGCCUGGUAAGUCUGGAGUGAAAGUCCUGCUUUUAAGGUGGGAAUUGCUUUGGAUACUGUCGGGCUUGAGUGCAGGAGAGGUAAGCGGAAUUCCCGGUGUAGCGGUGAAAUGCGUAGAGAUCGGGAGGAACACCAGUGGCGAAGGCGGCUUACUGGACUGUAACUGACGCUGAGGCGCGAAAGUGUGGGGAGCAAACGGGAUUAGAAACCCGGGUAGUCC